GGUGUACAUAGCUCAAUGGAACGGCAUUCGACUGCAGAUCGAGAGGUCUCCGGUUCCAACUCGGAUAUCUCCU